UACGAAGGGAGCUAGCGUUGUUCGGAAUCACUGGGCGUAAAGCGCACGUAGGCGGCUUUGCCAGUCAGGGGUGAAAUCCCGGGGCUCAACCUCGGAACUGCCUUUGAUACAGCAAGUCUUGAGUUCGAGAGAGGUGGGUGGAAUUCCUAGUGUAGAGGUGAAAUUCGUAGAUAUUCGCAAGAACACCAGUGGCGAAGGCGGCUCACUGGCCCGAUACUGACGCUGAGGCACGAAAGCGUGGGGAGCAAACAGG
rnacentral:rRNA from 1 species